GCCAGGUAUGGUGGUGCAUGCCUAUAAUCCCAGCUACUUGGGAGGCUAAUGCAAGAGGAUUGCAAGUUCGAGGCCAGCCUCAGCAACUAGGACCUUGUCUCAA
rnacentral:sRNA from 1 species